GUUACAUUUUCGUGGACUAUUACAUCAACAUCAGCGGGUGAAGAUGAGGUGGGGAAGAACUUGGUGGAGGGGCAAGGUGCUUGCCUAUGAAUCAGCAAGUCAAGAGGCAUCUGAUGAGUCUGAGACCUUCCGUGAUGUGGAUGUUACAUCUGAGCAAGAUUCCUCUGACAGUCAGGUUAUCGGAGAGCUUAGUGACAGUGACUUGGACGAGAUGGAUGACAUUCCACUUACA